UCGGCGCUCAGUGGCGAACGGGUGAGUAGCACAUGGGCAACCUGCCCUUCAGAGGGGGACAACAGCUGGAAACGGCUGCUAAGACCGCAUAGGCGCGGACGGGACAUCCCGUCCACGUUAAACGUCCUUUCGGGGACGGCUGAAGGAUGGGCCUGUGGCGCAUUAGCUUGUUGGCGGGGCAACGGCCCACCAAGGCGACGAUGCGUAGCCGGCCUGAGAGGGCGGACGGCCACACUGGGACUGAGACACGGCCCAGACUCCUACGGGAGGCAGCAGUAGGGAAUUUUCGGCAAUGGGGGGAACCCUGACCGAGCAACGCCGCGUGAACGAGGAAGGCCUUCGGGUCGUAAAGUUCUGUUGCGAAGGAAGAACGCCGGAGGGAGGAAAUGACCUCCGGGUGACGGUACUUCGCGAGAAAGCCACGGCUAACUACGUGCCAGCAGCCGCGGUAAUACGUAGGUGGCGAGCGUUAUCCGGAAUCAUUGGGCGUAAAGAGGGAGCAGGCGGCCGUGAGGGUCUGUGGUAAAAGACUGAAGCUCAACUUCAGUGAGCCAUGGAAACCGGACGGCUGGAGUGCGGCAGAGGAUCGUGGAAUUCCAUGUGUAGCGGUGAAAUGCGUAGAUAUAUGGAGGAACACCAGUGGCGAAGGCGACGGUCUGGGCCUGCACUGACGCUCAUU
rnacentral:rRNA from 1 species